rnacentral:rRNA from 1 species
UACGUAGGGGGCAAGCGUUGUCCGGAUUUACUGGGCGUAAAGCGCGUGUAGGCGGCCGCGCAGGUCCGUUGUGAAAACUGGAGGCUCAACUUCCAGACGUCGACGGAAACCGUGUGGCUAGAGUCCGGAAGAGGAGAGUGGAAUUCCUGGUGUAGCGGUGAAAUGCGCAGAUAUCAGGAAGAACACCAAUGGCGAAGGCAGCUCUCUGGGACGGUACUGACGCUGAGACGCGAAAGCAUGGGGAGCGAACAGG